CCUGGGCAGGACCCCUCACUCCAUUCAUUCUCUGCUCAAGCGUCAUUUCUUCAGAUGUCCUUCCCCAUCCUCUUGCUUCCUUCUCAGCACCCAUGGUCAGCAAGCCCACAUCUGCUGUCUUGUGUGUUUCCUGCCUGCCCUCCCCUCCCCUCCCAUGGCAAGCUUCAUGGUGACAGGAACUGCCUUGACUUCUUCCCCGCCACAUCCCGGUCUCUAAUGUGGAGCCCAGCACGUGGGAGGCUCUCAACAAGUAUUUGUUGAUUGAACGACAGAUCCACCAAAGUGCCACCCCUUGGUCUGGCCUCCCUACUGUGUCCAGGAGGAGGCAUCCUUGUCUUCUUUGUUUGCUAACCAUUGUUGUACAACAGCUACAUGCAGUGUUAUGAAUGGCUGUCAGUAGAUUUGUCUCCUUGGCUGGAUGUGGAUGGUGAGUCCUCCAUUGUCUCCUUGGCUGGAUGUGAAUGGUGAGUCCUCCACAGGAGAGACAGAUUCUAGUCAUUCUUAUGUCUCCAGCACCCAGCAGAAGGACUGCAAACAGCCAGGACUCAGUAAAUGUGAGGGCAACACGAAGGACCCUGCAGCUGCCCCACAUGAUACCAGCUACGCAAAACCAUCUGCGGAGCGUGUGCCUCUGGGCCGUAUGCCCGUGACCUCCAGACUUUCCAUCUGCAGAAUGGGAACAACACUGGUCACCUGUCCAGUAAAUCGUCCUGGUGCCAGGGGUUUAGUGGCAACUGUACCUGCUCCGUGGCUAGGCCUGUGCCCUACUUCCCCCCAUGGGUAGAUGCUACGUAUUUAAUAACUCACAGCUUCAAAAAUGCCUGAAAGCUUUCAUCAGAAUGACCUUGAAGACUCAUAUUUGUAUCAAAUUCAUGGACUAUUAACCCCAAUUCUUGGAAAAGAAAGAGCAUCGCCCUUCCCUGCACAGCGUUGGCCAAAAUGUUACUAGAUCUAAAUGCAGACAAACAAAAAGACACUCAACAGGACCCAAUUUUUACAAGGGUUUGGAUUCAACCUUCUUGAGAAUCUGUAAGCAUCACUUCCAAGUAGAACGUGCUGGAAGCCCUGAUGUGCACAGGGUGGUGCACCUGAGACCACUCCUCUGGCCUUGCAAUCCCCCUACACUGGCAUGGCCCUCAUCCUGGCCUACAUAGCUCAGCCCAGUGUCCAGCCCAAAUCUCACCCUGGAACACCACCCACUUGGACUAAGGUUAAAUGAGCAACAAGUCUGAGGGCAUAAAGUGGCCCGGGACUCUUGGCCAGGGACUGCUAGUGGGAUAGAGAGCAUGGGGGCAGGCAGGACCCACUGUGGGACCCCCCCAGCCCAGGAGUCACCUGCCUUCCGGUUAAUAUGGCAGAAACAUCCCCGGAAAUAAUUUAAUCCUGGUAAAAUACACGACAUAAAAUUGACCGUCUUAACGUUUUGAAGCGUAGAGUUCUGUGGCAUUAAGGACAUUCACGCUGCUGUGUGACCUUAACCACCAUCAUCUCCAGAACUCUUUUUCUCCUCUCAGACUGAGACUCUGUCCCCACUAAACACGCACUUCCCACUCCUCCCCUCGGCCCCCGGCAGCCAUCGUUCUGCCUUCCGUCUCUAUGAAUCCGGCUGCACGAGGUUCCCCGUGUAAGUGGAGUCAUAGAGUGUUUGUCUGUGACCAGCUUAGUUCACUCAGCACCGUGUCCUCAGGGUUCAUCCAUGCUAUGGUCCCUAUCGAGACAACCUUCCUUUUUAAAGGCAGAAUGACAUUCCAUCGUGUGUGUGUGUGUGUUGGGGGGGGGUGAUGGUGUGUGUGGGGGGGGUGUUUGUGUGUGGGGUGUGUGGUGGGUGUGAUGUGUGUGAGUGGGGUGUGCUGUGUGUGUGGUGUGUGUCAGAGUGGGGUGUGUGUGUGGUGUGUGGGAGGAUGUGGUGUGUGUGGGGUGUGGGGUUUGGGGGGUAUGUGUGGGGUGUGGUGUGUGUGUGGUGUGUGUGGGAGGGAUGUGGUGUGUGUGUGGUGUGUGUGGGGUAAGGUGUGUGUGUGGCGUGUGGGGUUGUGGUGUGUGUGGGGUGUGUGGUGUGUGCAUGGGGUGUGUGGUUUGUGUGUAGUGUGUACUGUGUGUGUGGGGUGUGGUGUGUGGGGGGUUGUGUGG
rnacentral:lncRNA from 1 species